UCUCAAGAACAUGGUGCAGGGGGUGGGGGUGGGGGGUGGCAGAGGCUGGGAAACACAGCAAGCUCCAAAAAAUUAGUAAUAGUAAUAAUAAACAAAAACAAAGGAGAAGAAGAAAAAAAAGAAAAUCCAAACAAAAUAAAACACACAAACACACACACACAGAAUGAACACCAGCUCAUGAGCUGAAGAAGAAGAAGAAGAAAAAAUAUAUAUACAGGCGAUUGAUGGCCAGGUUCAAAGGUGAGCUAUGCCCUACAUGAAGUACGCUGCUCAGAUCUUUGACCCUUGUGCAAGUCCAGGGUAUGUGUGGGGCAGGCGGUGUAAAAAGAGUAGUAGUUGUAAUAAGAAUAAUAAUAAAAAAAGAACAAAACAACCAAGCUAGCAAGUUACGGGGGAAUUCAGGCUCGGGAAGGUCCUCCGCGGCUGGCGGUGACGGUGGUG
rnacentral:lncRNA from 1 species